UAGUUCAUAUAACCAAGGACAUACCGUCCAUAGGCAAAGCGACGAUCCUUGUCAUGAUCCCCGAAAGUGUCCCAAAGACGCAAGGAAACAUUGACUCCAUCAACCACCUCCCAAGAUCGUUCGAGAACCUGAAAAAGGAAUGCGAUACUGGUCGAUGGCCCAGACAGUUGGAACAUGGGUGGAAAGUAGCUGGGAUAGCGAGACGUGCUUGUUGCAGGCUCUAGCGCAGAUCAGGCGCGUCUUGCCCACUGCAGUAUCCCCCACCAGGACGCACUUGACCAACUCUUGAUGUGGCUGCUCGUUGUCCAUUGUUGGCUGGCACUUCGUGGCACUGGUGUCGAAAAUCUGAAAAAAUAAGCAAUUAUUUAUUUAAAUAAAAUGGAUAACUUUCCAUAAAAAAUAGAUCUUAACUUAGUGUUAAUUAUUGCAUAAACUUCUUAAAUUUAUUGCCUAUUCCUUAGUAUCUAUCAUCUAUGCGAAAUAAACAUCGUACUUCCGAAGUGAUAAUUAAUUUAUUAAACACAAAGGCGCUUAAAUUAUAACAUAGACUUUACUUAAACUCUUGAAGAAUAAAUUUUAUUAUUUGUAUGUUAGCAAAGUGCGUUUUAAAAGAAUAACAUUUCGGCAAGUCGUCAUACGAUGACCCUGUUUCUGGAGGAUCGGGAGGGAAGUUGAAGCAAAUCUGGACUGUAAAUCAGAUGCGAAGCGAUAAGCUCUUUUGGUCUCUAAUUGAACUUAAUUGGACCUGCACUAAAAAUAUCCACCAUCAAUCCUCCAGCCCACAACAUCGAGCCGAGGAGCACUCUUCUUUCUGCGUGGGGCCCAUGCUGCAUGAGAUAUUGCCAUUGUUGUCCGUCCGUCCGGCCGUAUUGUCGAGUUGCAGUCUAUUUUUGGAAGUGCUUCGAAACCAAAACAAUAACAAUUCAAUUGAGAGGAUCUUAAGCGGUCAGCCAAUGCGAUCGCCAUGUCCGCAGGAGGACCAACUCGAAAGCUUAUUGAUUUUCUCUUGCCAUUUGCAAAACGGCGACACGGGCGGAAGGCAGAAACCCACACAACAAACACACUGGCACGAACACGAACACAGCACCAAACAGUGGGGAUCUUGGAGCCCCACUCUUGGCUCCGGCAAACUUGGCCUACAAUUAACCCAGCGAGUGAAAUAGGGCGAAAAAGUCAAGAAAAAUAAAGAAAAUCGGAAACUGUAA